CCUACGGGUGGCUGCAGUGGGGAAUUUUGGACAAUGGGCGAAAGCCUGAUCCAGCCAUUCCGCGUGCAGGAUGAAGGCCCUCGGGUUGUAAACUGCUUUUGUACGGAACGAAAAGCCUUCUUCUAAUACAGGAGGGUCAUGACGGUACCGUAAGAAUAAGCACCGGCUAACUACGUGCCAGCAGCCGCGGUAAUACGUAGGGUGCAAGCGUUAAUCGGAAUUACUGGGCGUAAAGCGUGCGCAGGCGGUGAUGUAAGACAGAUGUGAAAUCCCCGGGCUCAACCUGGGAACUGCAUUUGUGACUGCAUCGCUGGAGUGCGGCAGAGGGGGAUGGAAUUCCGCGUGUAGCAGUGAAAUGCGUAGAUAUGCGGAGGAACACCGAUGGCGAAGGCAAUCCCCUGGGCCUGCACUGACGCUCAUGCACGAAAGCGUGGGGAGCAAACAGGAUUAGAUACCCUUGUAGUC
rnacentral:rRNA from 1 species